rnacentral:rRNA from 1 species
CCUUUGACGUUAGCGGCGGACGGGUGAGUAACACGUGGGUAACCUACCUAUAAGACUGGGAUAACUUCGGGAAACCGGAGCUAAUACCGGAUAAUAUUUCGAACCGCAUGGUUCGAUAGUGAAAGAUGGUUUUGCUAUCACUUAUAGAUGGACCCGCGCCGUAUUAGCUAGUUGGUAAGGUAACGGCUUACAAAGGCGACGAUACGUAGCCGACCUGAGAGGGUGAUCGGCCACACUGGAACUGAGACACGGUCCAGACUCCUACGGGAGGCAGCAGCG